AUUGAACGCUGGCGGCAGGCCUAACACAUGCAAGUCGAACGAGUGGCGGACGGGUGAGUAAUGUCUGGGAAACUGCCUGAUGGAGGGGGAUAACUACUGGAAACGGUAGCUAAUACCGCAUACCAUCAGAUGUGCCCAGAUGGGAUUAGCUAGUAGGUGGGGUAACAGCUCACCUAGGCGACGAUCCCUAGCUGGUCUGAGAGGCUGACCAGCCACACUGGAACUGAGACACGGUCCAGACUCCUACGGGAGGCAGCAGUGGGGAAUAGUGCACAAUGGGCGCAAGCCUGAUGCAGUCAUGCCGCGUGUAUGAAGAAGGCCCUCGGGUUGUAAAGUACUUUCAGCGGGGAGGCGUUACCCGCAGAAGAAGCACCGGCUAACUCCGUGCCAGCAGCCGCGGUAAUUC
rnacentral:rRNA from 1 species